GGUUAAGCGACUAAGCGUACACGGUGGAUGCCCUGGCAGUCAGAGGCGAUGAAGGGCGUGCUAAUCUGCGAUAAGCGCCGGUAAGGUGAUAUGAACCGUUAUAACCGGCGAUACCCGAAUGGGGAAACCCAGUGUGAUUCGUCACACUAUCAUUAACUGAAUCCAUAGGUUAAUGAGGCGAACCGGGGGAACUGAAACAUCUAAGUACCCCGAGGAAAAGAAAUCAACCGAGAUUCCCCCAGUAGCGGCGAGCGAACGGGGAGGAGCCCAGAGCCUGAAUCAGCAUGUGUGUUAGUGGAAGCGUCUGGAAAGACGCGCGAUACAGGGUGACAGCCCCGUACACAAAAGCGUAUGUGCUGUGAGCUCGAUGAGUAGGGCGGGACACGUGGUAUCCUGUCUGAAUAUGGGGGGACCAUCCUCCAAGGCUAAAUACUCCUGACUGACCGAUAGUGAACCAGUACCGUGAGGGAAAGGCGAAAAGAACCCCGGCGAGGGGAGUGAAAAAGAACCUGAAACCGUGUACGUACAAGCAGUGGGAGCACAGGUUUACCUGUGUGACUGCGUACCUUUUGUAUAAUGGGUCAGCGACUUAUAUUCUGUAGCAAGGUUAACCGAAUAGGGGAGCCGGAGGGAAACCGAGUCUUAAUUGGGCGUUAAGUUGCAGGGUAUAGACCCGAAACCCGGUGAUCUAGCCAUGGGCAGGUUGAAGGUUGGGUAACACUAACUGGAGGACCGAACCGACUAAUGUUGAAAAAUUAGCGGAUGACCUGUGGCUGGGGGUGAAAGGCCAAUCAAACCGGGAGAUAGCUGGUUCUCCCCGAAAGCUAUUUAGGUAGCGCCUCGUGAAUUCAUCUCCGGGGGUAGAGCACUGUUUCGGCUAGGGGGUCAUCCCGACUUACCAACCCGAUGCAAACUGCGAAUACCGGAGAAUGUUAUCACGGGAGACACACGGCGGGUGCUAACGUCCGUCGUGAAGAGGGAAACAACCCAGACCGCCAGCUAAGGUCCCAAAGUCAUGGUUAAGUGGGAAACGAUGUGGGAAGGCCCAGACAGCCAGGAUGUUGGCUUAGAAGCAGCCAUCAUUUAAAGAAAGCGUAAUAGCUCACUGGUCGAGUCGGCCUGC
rnacentral:rRNA from 1 species